UACGUAGGGUGCAAGCGUUGCCCGGAUUUAUUGGGCGUAAAGGGCGCGUAGGCGGCUCGGCACGUCCGUUGUGAAAUCGCCCGGCUCAACUGGGCGGGGUCAGCGGAUACGGCCGAGCUUGAGCAAGCUAGGGGGCAAUGGAAUUCCCGGUGUAGUGGUGGAAUGCGUAGAUAUCGGGAGGAACACCGGUGGCGAAGGCGGUUCUCUGGGCAUUACCUGACGCUGAGGAGCGAAAGUGUGGGGAGCGAACAGG
rnacentral:rRNA from 1 species